rnacentral:rRNA from 1 species
UCCUCCGCAUGGAGGAAAAAGGAAAGACGGCUUUUGCUGUCACUUACAGAUGGGCCCGCGGCGCAUUAGCUAGUUGGUGGGGUAACGGCUCACCAAGGCAACGAUGCGUAGCCGACCUGAGAGGGUGAUCGGCCACAUUGGGACUGAGACACGGCCCAAACUCCUACGGGAGGCAGCAGUAGGGAAUCUUCCGCAAUGGACGAAAGUCUGACGGAGCAACGCCGCGUGAGUGAAGAAGGCCUUCGGGUCGUAAAACUCUGUUGCCGGGGAAGAACAAGUGCCGUUCGAACAGGGCGGCGCCUUGACGGUACCCGGCCAGAAAGCCACGGCUAACUACGUGCCAGCAGCCGCGGUAAUACGUAGGUGGCAAGCGUUGUCCGGAAUUAUUGGGCGUAAAGCGCGCGCAGGCGGCUUCUUAAGUCUGAUGUGAAAUCUUGCGGCUCAACCGCAAGCGGUCAUUGGAAACUGGGAGGCUUGAGUGCAGAAGAGGAGAGUGGAAUUCCACGUGUAGCGGUGAAAUGCGUAGAGAUGUGGAGGAACACCAGUGGCGAAGGCGGCUCUCUGGUCUGUAACUGACGCUGAGGCGCGAAAGCGUGGGGAGCAAACAGGAUUAGAUACCCUGGUAGUCCACGCCGUAAACGAUGAGUGCUAAGUGUUAGAGGGUUUCCGCCCUUUAGUGCUGCAGCUAACGCAUUAAGCACUCCGCCUGGGGAGUACGGCCGCAAGGCUGAAACUCAAAGGAAUUGACGGGGGCCCGCACAAGCGGUGGAGCAUGUGGUUUAAUUCGAAGCAACGCGAAGAACCUUACCAGGUCUUGACAUCCUCUGACCUCCCUGGAGACAGGGCCUUCCCCUUCGGGGGACAGAGUGACAGGUGGUGCAUGGUUGUCGUCAGCUCGUGUCGUGAGAUGUUGGGUUAAGUCCCGCAACGAGCGCAACCCUUGACCUUAGUUGCCAGCAUUCAGUUGGGCACUCUAAGGUGACUGCCGGUGACAAACCGGAGGAAGGUGGGGAUGACGUCAAAUCAUCAUGCCCCUUAUGACCUGGGCUACACACGUGCUACAAUGGAUGGUACAAAGGGCUGCGAGACCGCGAGGUUAAGCCAAUCCCAGAAAACCAUUCCCAGUUCGGAUUGCAG